AGCUCCCCACCGCCGCCCCUGCAGUGACCCUGUCACCCACCCACCGCCUGGCUUUCCUCAAGCAUUGCCGAAUUUUGUGAAGUCAUUACGACAUGCGGGCCUUGCCCCUGUGCAUAAUAUAAUGGUACACAUGACCCAUUCACGGUCGUGGCCCUGCUGCUCGUCAUAUGGCAUGAUAACCGACAUGGGACUGAAUCCUACGUACCGCAAGUGCGNNNNNNNNNNNNNNNNNNNNNNNNNNNNNNNNNNNNNNNNNNNNNNNNNNNNNNNNNNNNNNNNNNNNNNNNNNNNNNNNNNNNNNNNNNNNNNNNNNNNACUGCCAGGGCGGCCGCAAGCGCGCAGCAGCGACCCCAAAGUGGACGCAGAGCCGCAUUCGCGCCGGGGCACCACAACGCGAUCUAGAAGGCAGAGACGGUACUAGGGCACAAAUACCGUACACAGGCACAGACACGGACACAGGCACGGGUGGCACGGGCACCUUUGAGCGCACUUGCGGUACGUAGGAUUCAGUCCCAUGUCGGUUAUCAUGCCAUAUGACGAGCAGCAGGGCCAGCUGGGCCGCUCUUCCCAUAGAAUGUUCAAUUUUUGUGUUUUUCCAGCGCACCUUUGAGCGCAUUUAUGGCAUUUAUGGCAAAAACACAAAAAAUUGAACAUUCUAUGGGAAGAGCGGCCCAGCUGGCCCUGCUGCUCGUCAUAUGGCAUGAUAACCGACAUGGGACUGAAUCCUACGUACCGCAAGUGCGCUCAAAGGUGCCCGUGCCACCCGUGCCUGUGUCCGUGUCUGUGCCUGUGUACGGUAUUUGUGCCCUAGUACCGUCUCUGCCUUCUAGAUCGCGUUGUGGUGCCCCGGCGCGAAUGCGGCUCUGCGUCCACUUUGGGGUCGCUGCUGCGCGCUUGCGGCCGCCCUGGCAGUGCGUGUCAUGCUGGCAGUUGCUCAGCCCAGAGGCGGGAUCCCUUGCCUAUUUGAGCAUACUAAAGGCUGACCGGUAGCGGCAGGUGGCGUGCACCGGUUCUGCCUGGCGCACACAAAUGGCUCCAGGUAAAACAUGAGGGCAGAGAAGCACGCACACAAUUCAUGAGAACAUUUCUUUCUUGCGGGGCAGUUCUUCUGACAAACUACACGCAUCAGUCGUGACAUUGACAUUUACACGGCAUUGGCUGGGCGUUGGCCCCGGCGUGGGUCAUUGACGAACUGGACAUUUCUUGGAUGCUACUCAGCAUGUGCAUAGCGCUGACGGCUCUUGUGUGUGAGGAUGGGGGCAGGUUGCUGAGUUUAGUUUCAGAGAGGAGCGGGCUGCCGCGCUGGGUGUAGGUGCCGAAUACACGCCUGCAGCGGCAGCGAUGUGGGCUGCGCAGGCUUCAAGCCAAAUGAGGGGCCCUGUUGCGACGCCGGCGGUAGCGUAUACUGUAGCGACGGCAGUAGCGAAGGCAGUAGUGGCGGCGAUUGCUGGACAUUGUGUACCGUAGCUACCCGUGUGUGGGACGCAUUGGAAGCAGGGGGAGCACAAAACAUAGUAUAAUGGCGGUUCUAGGACAGUCCCGGGGCCCGACUAACCCCAACAACUCGUGUACGGCACUCCAACCCCCUUCAGCCGUACAGGAGUUUGCGUGGGAGUCGGCAGCUGUGCCAGUGUGCGCAGGUAGUUGUACGGCGGCCCGGCUCGGAAGCUACCUGACUGUAGUGAAGCACACGGGUUGUUGGCGGUGGCCGGCAGGCAAGCGAGUGGGAGUGGGCAGUUAAGCACGCACGCGUGCAAGAAGCUGCGACAGAUUAAGGCGGAGCACGGUUGAGGCUGGCGGUUGGCGCGCCGCGCGAGUGUGAAUGCAUAGUCGUGCACGCGCCGUUUGGGAAGCUGCGUGUGAGCUGCGUGUGAAGUAUGAACUCAGAGAGACGCAUGGGGCUGACCCUGUUUCCAUGAGCUGCUGCCCCUGGGCGUACACGGUUUCACACGGUCGACAUUGGGACCUGCCUGAAUAAUCCGCAGUGUGCGGCGGGACUUGCUGGAGUGCAUGACAGUCGCUGGGGGGCACACGAGGGGUGGGGCGCAGGGGCGGCUCGAAACUUGGGGAAAUGCGAUGCACGCCCGCCGCCGUGCGCAUGGCCCUCUGGGUUGUAACCAUUAUCAACGUCCAACUUGCUUCAAUUGCUGCUUUGCGCCCAGGAAUUCUAUGAGGCGUGUUUGGGAGCUGCCCGGGUUGUAGCAAACGUCAUUGGAAGACAGUUUGGGGCGCUCGCUCGUGAACAAUCUGGCGCCGUACGGCCGGUCGCGUCCCUCAAGUGGUGCAAGGGG
rnacentral:lncRNA from 1 species